AACGAACGCUGGCGGCAGGCCUAACACAUGCAAGUCGAAGGAGAAGCCGGGCUUCGGCCCGGUGGAAACUGGCGCACGGGUGAGUAACGCGUGGGUAUCUACCUCGGGGUGGGGAAUAACCGCUGGAAACGGCGGCUAAUACCGCAUACGCCUUCAGAGGGAAAGCUCCGGCGCCCUGAGAGGAGCCCGCGUUGGAUUAGCUUGUUGGUGAGGUAAAGGCUCACCAAGGCUACGAUCUGUAGCUGGUCUGAGAGGACGAUCAGCCACACUGGGACUGAGACACGGCCCAGACUCCUACGGGAGGCAGCAGUGGGGAAUAUUGCACAAUGGGCGAAAGCCUGAUGCAGCCAUGCCGCGUGAGUGAAGAAGGCCUUAGGGUUGUAAAGCUCUUUCGCUAGGGAAGAUAAUGACGGUACCUAGUAAAGAAGCCCCGGCUAACUCCGUG
rnacentral:rRNA from 1 species